rnacentral:rRNA from 1 species
UGAACGCUGGCGGCGUGCCUAAUACAUGCAAGUCGAGCGAACAGACGAGGAGCUUGCUCCUCUGACGUUAGCGGCGGACGGGUGAGUAACACGUGGAUAACCUACCUAUAAGACUGGGAUAACUUCGGGAAACCGGAGCUAAUACCGGAUAAUAUAUUGAACCGCAUGGUUCAAUAGUGAAAGACGGUUUUGCUGUCACUUAUAGAUGGAUCCGCGCCGCAUUAGCUAGUUGGUAAGGUAACGGCUUACCAAGGCAACGAUGCGUAGCCGACCUGAGAGGGUGAUCGGCCACACUGGAACUGAGACAUGGUCCAGACUCCUACGGGAGGCAGCAGUAGGGAAUCUUCCGCAAUGGGCGAAAGCCUGACGGAGCAACGCCGCGUGAGUGAUGAAGGUCUUCGGAUCGUAAAACUCUGUUAUUAGGGAAGAACAAAUGUGUAAGUAACUAUGCACGUCUUGACGGUACCUAAUCAGAAAGCCACGGCUAACUACGUG